GGAGAGAUGGCCGAGUUGGUCGAAGGCGCUCGACUCGAAAUCGAGUAGGCGGCUAAUCCCCGCCUCUAGGGUUCGAAUCCCUAUCUCUCCGCCA
rnacentral:tRNA from 1 species